rnacentral:rRNA from 1 species
GUGGGGAAUAUUGGGCAAUGGGCGGAAGCCUGACCCAGCGACGCCGCGUGGGGGAAGAAGUCUUUCGGGAUGUAAACCCUUGUUGUACGGGACGAAGGAAGUGACGGUACCGUACGAGGAAGCCCCGGCAAACUACGUGCCAGCAGCCGCGGUAAUACGUAGGGGGCGAGCGUUGUCCGGAAUCACUGGGCGUAAAGCGCACGUAGGCGGGCUGUCAAGUCGGCCGUGAAAGGCACGGGCUCAACCUGUGCAUGUCGGUCGAUACUGGCGGUCUGGAGUAUGGGAGAGGGAACUGGAGUGCCCGGUGUAGCGGUGAAAUGCGUAGAUAUCGGGAGGAACACCAGUGGCGAAGGCGGGUUCCUGGCCCAUGACUGACGCUGAGGUGCGAAAGCCGGGGGAGCGAACGGGAUUAGAUACCCCUGUAGUCC